GGAAUAAACAUGACGCAGUAAAAUACCUCUUUUCGUAAUUUCAAAAUGAGUGUCAUUUUUCUUGAAUUGCACAUACCAGGUGAAAUUUGAUUUUAAUAAUAGAUUCCGAAGUAAAACUAAGAAGAAGAAAGGAUUCAAGAAAGUGUUUUUUCUUAUAAAUAAAAUGUUUUAAAAGUAGAUGAAAAUGAAGAAGAAACUGAAAGGUGAAAUUGUAGAUGAAAUUGAAAGGAGACAGUGAUUUUUACCGAACUCUUUCUGAUUGGUCAAUCCUUCAGGGGACAUUUUCUCUGGAAUGUUCACCUCCCUUUUUUAACUUUCACACACUUAUCAAUGUCAGUCAAAUGACAGGAUUUACAGAGGGAUCGUUAUGUUACAAAAAUACCGAUAAUGUUACGAGGGCCACUCAUAGGGUACUAAACUACUCCCCCACCCCAUGCAGCGAACUUUAGGAUUGGUCAGUAUGAUGAUAGGUACUAAGUACCUUCCUCAGAAUUUUAAAAGUUUUUGCUACUUGUCAUUUCAGAUUAACUUUUUCAAAAUGGUUGCGCUGUAAAAAUUAUAUUCUGACGCUAUUUAUUUAAAUCUAAAAAAUUUGGGAUAAGGUAUCGAACGAGUGAUUAAAUGUUGGAAAAU